CCUACGGGAGGCAGCAGUGGGGAAUAUUGCACAAUGGGGGAAACCCUGAUGCAGCGACGCCGCGUGAGUGAAGAAGUAAUUCGUUAUGUAAAGCUCUAUCAGUAGGGAAGAAAAUGACGGUACCUGAGUAAGAAGCCCCGGCUAACUACGUGCCAGCAGCCGCGGUAAUACGUAGGGGGCAAGCGUUAUCCGGAUUCACUGGGUGUAAAGGGAGCGUAGACGGCAGUGCAAGUCUGGAGUGAAAGGGGGGGGCUCAACCCCCGGACUGCACUGGAAACUGUACGGCUGGAGUGCUGGAGAGGUAAGUGGAAUGCCUAGUGUAGCGGUGAAAUGCGUAGAUAUUAGGAGGAACACCAGUGGCGAAGGCGGCUUACUGGACUGUAACUGACGUUGAGGCUCGAAAGCGUGGGGAGCAAACAGGAUUAGAUACCCGAGUAGUC
rnacentral:rRNA from 1 species